UAAACUGGGGUGAGUGAAGGGCUGGGGCCAGCAGACUUCUUUAUAGUGUCAGGAACUCCAUAAUUAUAUAACGUACAGAUAAACAAACCACAUCUGUAGCAAGAAGCGUUAACCUCAGUCAUCCACAUGCCUCAUCACAUCCAGCAGCACUUUACUGUAAUGGGGGCGUACCUCUCAGUCUCUUAUCGCAACAAAAAAGUCUUGACAACGGCGAAAGUGGGAACAGUUUUUAAAUAUUGAUUUAUACAUUUAGAAAGUUGCUAGAUCAAUACAUUUUGUUUUGGCAUGCAUUUUCAGAAGGAUAUGACGUGUGAAACCCAAACGGCUAUUGUUUAGUGACUUCAAUUCUCAACGAUUAUCCAGAAAAACACAAAAUUAGCGAGGAAGGGACCCAAAAUAUGAGGCAAAAAUCUUGACAUUCUGCGGAAAUCUGGACAUUUGAGGUUUGAACAGCGACAGUUGAUAAUUAUGGCCAUUGUGCAAAGAAGGGCAAGGAUGCCCCAGAUUUUGAUUACAAUUUUAGCUUUGUCCCUUUUAAUACAUUUUACAACUGGUUUCUAGUCAUCAGCACAUUUGCUUAUCCAUUUUAUGUCUGAGAAGAACUGGCCAAAACAAAGUGAGCCCUUUAUAGAGCUUUGUAGGAUACCAUCAGUAACCUCUUCUGGGAUAGACAGACAUAUCUGGUAUUGAUUUUGCAUGACCACCUGCACAUGCAACAAGAUGUGUCCUUUGGGGGUUGACUCUUUCUGAUGCUGACAGGACACAACCAUUACAUGAUGAUUAAUCAUCAUUACCACCUUCUUCAUGUGACCCACAGAGAGCAGCUUAAUGAGGUAUAUAAGAAUGAAUCAAAGCCAUUCAGACCACCAAACAUUAGUAUGCAGUGGAAGCAUCUCAGAUCUGCAAGACAACUAUUUUUUCUGAUAUGAUAUUCAAGUCUGUUCUUGCUGAUAAUAUUUCCUGUCCAGAAGCAGCAGCUUUAGAAGAGUUAGGUUGCAACAAGUUCUUACUUUUUGGCUCCUACUAUAAAUCCCUUCCAAGAGGAUCUACAGGAUGUUCAUUGUGCUUCACUGCUGCAGUAAUGACCUUUGGUGUGUCCUGCCAUGGAGGCCCUUGGCCAACCCAAAUGCCAGAGACUUGAUCCUUUCACUGAGGGUGCUCAAGGAAAUCAUCAUUUUCUGCCCAGGAACACGCUAAAGAAUCUGUUGGAUAUAAAGGAGUAAAACCUCAAGAAAUUCAAAACCUACAGUGGGAUGUUUUUUCUACUUCCAUUUUAGCCCAUAAAACAAAAAGAGUCUGAUGGGUCAUAGAAUAAAUAAACAUUUCUGGGAGGACAUAGAUUAGGAUUUGCUGACUCUGUAACACAGUGUGACUGAGUACAUAGAUCUAGAAUAUACCAGCAUCUUAAUUCAAUAUAUUUUAAGAAAAUAAUCCAUUUAUAGGAAGUAACUUAAUCUCUUGAAAUGUUUAAUCAUUUCACACUCGGAACAGUGAGUCAGACCACUGUCAAAAUAUCUUUACAAAAACAGACAUGAAAACCACCUGAAAAAUAAAAACAUUAAAAAAUUACAAAAGGAUCUUAAUGACUACAAAAAGUUUGAAAAACUCCUUCACUGAAAAUGUCUGUUCAUUCUUCUUUUCCUCUGUUGAAACUUGGUUAUCUGAUGCCCGAUCAAUACUCAACCAAAACAAAACUAAACUACUCAUCU